AUACGGAGGAUGCGAGCGUUAUCCGGAUUUAUUGGGUUUAAAGGGUGCGUAGGCUGUGCGUUAAGUCAGGGGUGAAAUGCCGUCGCUCAACGACGGAGCUGCCCUUGAUACUGGCGUGCUGGAGUACGGAUGCCGUUGGAGGCAUGAGUGGUGUAGCGGUGAAAUGCUUAGAUAUCACUCAGAACACCGAUUGCGAAGGCAUCUGACGAAUCCGUCACUGACGCUGAGGCACGAAAGCGUGGGGAUAGAACAGGAUUAGAUACCCUGGUAUUCCACGCCGUAAACGAUGAUGACUAAUUGUCGGCGAUAGACAGCCGGUGGCCAAGCGAAAGCGAUAAGUCAUCCACCUGGGGAGUACGUCGGCAACGAUGAAACUCAAAUGAAUUGGCGGGG
rnacentral:rRNA from 1 species